GUAGGUGAACCUGCGGAGGGAUCAUU
rnacentral:ncRNA from 12 species